rnacentral:rRNA from 1 species
AAAUUGAAGAGUUUGAUCAUGGCUCAGAUUGAACGCUGGCGGCAGGCCUAACACAUGCAAGUCGAACGGUAACAGGAAACAGCUUGCUGUUUCGCUGACGAGUGGCGGACGGGUGAGUAAUGUCUGGGAAACUGCCUGAUGGAGGGGGAUAACUACUGGAAACGGUAGCUAAUACCGCAUAACGUCGCAAGACCAAAGAGGGGGACCUUCUGGCCUCUUGC